rnacentral:misc_RNA from 1 species
AAAAUGCGAUACGUAAUGCGAAUUGCAGAAUUCAGUGAAUCAUCAAAUCUUUGAACGCAAAUUGCGCUCUCGGGAUAGGCCUGGGAGCACGCCUCUUUGAGUAUCGUUUCAACCACAACUCGAAAGCGUGCUUAAUUGCACGCUGACGGAAACUGAGCGCUUCUCGAGCAAUCGAGACGCUUGAAAUUGAGCGAGCGACACGAUUUCUGACGUGAAAUUGACUUUUUCUCAAGUGACGAGGAUAACUUCACAUUCAUUUGUGAACCCUUCCUUCGUGACUCUCGAGGCGGGUUGUUUUAUGCCGGUCAUCUGCAAUGUUGCGGGCCCUCUGCACGCGUCUUAAGAGACGCGUGCAGAACUCUAUUUGAACUAGAUCUCAAAUGAAGCGAGAAAACCCGCU